UGUGACGACUGGUGGGUAGAUGUAAACUGUUUUAUGAUAAUAUCAAGGAGAUUGUGCCAGUAUAUGAAUAUUGUGCAAGGGAAUUUUAAAUAAAAGAUUGAAAUGCUGAUGCUGAUCAAUUAUCUAGCAAAUAGAACUGGAACACUCAAGAAAGCAGAAGAAACCAUUACCUUCUAUAUGUGUGCCCACACAUCCACCUCCGGCCCAUACUUGUCUGAAGGAUGAAACAGCUCUGGAGCUGCAUAUUCCAGGGAGCCACACCGAG